rfam:Clostridium methylpentosum DSM 5476 Scfld2 genomic scaffold, whole genome shotgun sequence.
CGAGCGGUAUUCUCACGAAACUGCAUCGGAUGAGCUUCUUUAUUUUAAUCACAGCCUGUAUCCGCCAUGGAACGGGACGAUCC